UAAUUUGAGCCAUAAUGGAAAGUGGCCAAUGGUUGAAACAGUUGUUCUUAUUGGCAGACGAGUAUAGUGAAAAAGACAUCAUCGUUAACUCCAAUAUCUUGAGCGUCAAGAUUAUGUGUGAAUGUGUGAUACAUGUAUGUAACUUAGAAUGUCCUUAAUGGUAGUAAAUUAUGUGUAUUUAUACCGAAGUAUGAAUUUCAGGUAUAUAUGAUUUACUCUUGUAUAGAAACAAAUACUAUCAAUCACUUUACCUUUGUUAUAAUUUCAUUUCACAAAUUGAGCAUCAAGGAUUUGUUGCGAGUAGUUAAAUUCAUCUAAAGGUUUCAUUUUUUGGAACUUUUGGAAAAUUUGUCAUUAUUUGACACAAAUUGAUCUAAAGCAGUUGAUAUCACUGUGCCACUUUUGUUUGUAGUACUGUAUUUUAUAAACAAGGUCGAGAGUCUUAGUAGUACUCUAUUUUAUAAACAAGGUCGAGAGUCUUAGUAGUACUGUAUUUUAUAAACAAGGUCGAGAGUCUUAGUAGUACUGUAUUUUAUAAACAAGGUCGAGAGUCUGAGUCUAUAGAAAUUAUUUUCUACGUACAUCCAGAAGUAACACUGCAUGUCCAGUUAUUGAAACAAAUGAGAAUUUCUUCAUUUUUUCUCAGUCUAAUUUACUAGUACAGUAUUCAAAUGGAUGUAUUUCUUCAAACAUUAAUUGGAAUAAUAGCAUUACAAAUGUAUUACUAAAAGUAAACUUAUUUUCAAAUGCAAAUAUUAAUGAUAUCUGGGCCUAUUCUUGCUCCUUAAUUUAUGUUGCAUAGUGCAAGUAAAAAAGCUGUACAGUAAAUUUGAAAAAAAAACACAUUGGGUAUCCAAAUAUAUUGCUCACUAUUGCCAAAAAGUGUUUCUGUUCAUGAAUCCAAGAAAUAAUAUGGUGCUUUGCUGCAAAAAAAAUAUUUGCUUUAGAGUGGUUUUAGAAAUACUGAUUCACUGCUGCUAAUUCAACAUGGGGUGGGCUUAUUGUCAGGCAUGGGCUUAUCUUUAGUGAAAUGUGUAGUCUACAGUUUGUUCUGUAUACAUCUGUAGCUUCAUUAGACAUAUACCAAGCUGUUUUAUGGUUCUGAUGCUGAAAGUGAAAGUGAUCAUUGAGGAAAGUUGUUGUAAAUGAUAGGUUUGAUGACAUAUGUGAAUAUUAAAUGAAUAAUGUAACUUCCAUAUGAAGUAAGUGGUGAUAUAGUCAUUAUCACUACUAUAAAUGGAUAAAUCUGGCAUACAUUGUACAUGUAUAUUGUUGUCUGUUUUAUAAGAAUAUAUUUCUAGAAAGUAUUCCCAUUGUGUUAUUUAAAAAUUUUGCCCUCAAAUAAAUCUGAUAACUGCCUACA